UGUGGUGUUUUACGUCUUCGUGCGUUUAGUGUUUUUUUUUUUUCGAGUGUAAGGAACAUUUUUGGCUGUGUUUAUUUUUUUUAUGAGAGAGAGAGCAAGAGAGAGUUAACAUUUUGUUAUUUACUCUGAGCAUAGUGAAACAUAUCAAAAAAGAUAAUCACAAGAUAAAAUUGAUACAACAAAAUUAGAGCCGAGAAAUAAUUAAUGAAACUUACUAUAUACUCAGCUAAGGUUGCUUCUCAUUCGUACUUUUAACCUGGACAAAAGUAAUGCAAAGUAAACUAAAAAUACUAAAGAAACAAGUUACCUUAACAUGAAAAAUGGUUGGCUCUCCCAUAUUCACAAGA